rnacentral:lncRNA from 1 species
CAACUCUCCUCAGACCAGUCACAAACACCCCCGCAUCCUCCCUCCCCAGCUCAACUCUCCUCUAGACCAGUCACAAAACACUCUCCCUCCGCCAGCUCAACUCGCUCCUCUCCUCAGACCAUUCACAAAACCCACCCCGCUCUCCCUUCCGCCACUCAACUCUCCUCUAGACCAGUCACAAAACACCUCCACUCUCCACUCUCCCUCCGCCAGCUCAACUCUCCUCUCGACCAGUCCAAAACGACACCGCUCUCCUCCUCCCUCCCCGAGCUCAACCUCCUCUAGACCAGUCACAAAUACCACCGCUCUCCCUCCGCCAGCUCAACUCUCCUCUAGACCAGUCACAAAACACCACCACUCUCCCUCCGCCAGCUCAACUCUCCUCUAGACCAGUCACAAAACACCUCCGCUCUCCCUCGCCCUAGCUCAACUCUCCCGAAGCAGUCACAAAAACACCUCCUCGCUCCCUCGCAGCCAGCUCAACUCUCCU